UACGGGGGGAGCAAGCGUUGUUCGGAUUUACUGGGCGUAAAGGGCGCGUAGGCGGCGCAACAAGUCAGUUGUGAAAUCUCUGGGCUUAACCCAGAGCGGUCAACUGAUACUGUCGUGCUAGAGUGCGGAAGGGGCAACUGGAAUUCUCGGUGUAGCGGUGAAAUGCGUAGAUAUCGAGAGGAACACCUGCGGCGAAGGCGGGUUGCUGGGCUGACACUGACGCUGAAGCGCGAAAGCUAGGGGAGCGAACGGG
rnacentral:rRNA from 1 species